rnacentral:lncRNA from 1 species
ACAAUGGCAGCCCCUAGAUACUGGUACCGUGACAACGACAAUGGGUCACACGGGUCCAGGGAGGAGAACAAGAAGGAAAUGCAUCAGGCCGUGAAGCAGAGACUCGGAAGGGAGCGAGCAGGGAGCGAGAAGGAUGGAUGGCCUGCAGCUUCUCCUUCCCAUGCAGACAGGAAACCGCCUGGGCAGAAGCAGCACUUCCUUCCAAGAGGAUGAACGUUUAAAUGCCAAUGUGGACAGGGAUGCAGGGGGUGCCUGGAUGGGGCUGGGGCCCUGGGAGAUGCUGUUAGUGAUCAUGAAUUUCCACCAUCGUCCCAUCCACACCACAGCCAGAGAGGAUCUCAGAAUGCGCUGAGCAACGGUGUGCAUGCAGCAACGUGAAUACCUCUAUGCCUGCCUGGCCUCCGGGAACUUCUGUCAUCCCUGGCCACUUCCCCAUCUUUCUGCCAGAGGCUUGCAACCUCUGCCUGGCAUCUGGCUCUCUGAAUUGGCUGCUGUCCAGGCAGCUCUCCUACCAGCCACAGAGUCUGGCCUGGUGACCCCAGGGCCUUGCUGUUAGACUGCUCAGGGUCCUUGCUGAGCUGUGAGUCAAACCUUGGUCCUGUGGUGGCCAGCGAGAAAACCCAGACCCCUGAGCUGCAGAGCUGCAGUCAAGAGCCACUCACAGCCCUCCCUGUCCCCGGGUCAUGCUAACUGGGCAACUGCCUUGCCAGACCCCUUUGCCUACUUUCACCAGGUGCCAAGAGAUUCUGAAAGCACAAUGAAUAAUUGGGGGGACUAUACUUGGAAGCCAGCCCACCUCCCUUCAGGACCAGCCAGCUCCUCUUGACUCGCUCCAUUUUGUAGGAUUCUAGAACAGAAAGGAAUUUAGAGGUCAUUUUCCAAGCCUUAGUCUUUAGAAAGAAUAACUUGGAGGGGUUUGGGAUCCCCUGGGGCUUUGGGCUAAGUCCCAGGUAAAGAGCGUCUAGAGCCCUUGCUGGGGCGUGGGGAGGUGUAUUGUAGAUUCUUUGCCUGUUGGAAGCAGCUGAGCCCCACCCACCAACCCACCCCUAACACACACACCUAUGAGACCACUUGAUAGUUCUUCUACCUUCAUCUAAGGUCCAGGAGGGCAGGGCUUGCCCCUAAGGCUGACCAAGGCACCAGUGACACCCAGCUGGACCCAGCCAUCAACUGGCUUGCUGAGUGGAGCCCCUGGCGGGUGUGAAUGGAGAUGCUCCACGCAGGUGUAAGCUACUGCGGGAAGGGUCUGGAUUCUGAGUCAAACCAUGCACUGACCGGAGAGAGGCAGGUCCAAACCUCUCCAGAUGCUCAUCUGAAAAAUGUGGUCUUCUGAACUUACCAUGGCAUGAGAU